rnacentral:rRNA from 1 species
UGCGGAGGGAUCAUUACACAACAAAAUAUGAAGGCCUGGCUUUCGCGGCCGGCUGAAGUAUUUUUUUCACCCAUGUCUUUUGCGCACUUGUUGUUUCCUGGGCGGGUUCGCCCGCCACCAGGACCAAACCAUAAACCUUUUUUUCUUAUGCAGUUUCCAUCAGCGUCAGUAAAAACAAUGUAAUUAUUACAACUUUCAACAACGGAUCUCUUGGUUCUGGCAUCGAUGAAGAACGCAGCGAAAUGCGAUACGUAGUGUGAAUUGCAGAAUUCAGUGAAUCAUCGAAUCUUUGAACGCACAUUGCGCCCUUUGGUAUUCCAAAGGGCAUGCCUGUUCGAGCGUCAUUUGUACCUUCAAGCUUUGCUUGGUGUUGGGCGUUUUUUUGUCUCCCUCUUUCUGGGAGACUCGCCUUAAAACGAUUGGCAGCCGGCCUACUGGUUUCGGAGCGCAGCACAUUUUUUGCGCUUUGUAUCAGGAGAAAAGGACGGUACUCCAUCAAGACUCUACAUUUUUCACUUUUGACCUCGGAUCAGGUAGGGAUACCCGCUGAACUUAAGCAUAUCAAUAAGCCGGAG